AAGUCAUGUUAAGGACAAUUUCUUAAAAAGCCCGUGUAUCUUUCCUAAGCUUUGUAUAAGGGAUCUCCGUCUUCUUGUUGAAAAUUAGCAAUCUUCUUUCUAAGUUU